AUGAGGGUAAAACUCUCCUCCAAUGGUUUCCACUUUACAACAGAGUCGCUGCUCUAUUCACCAGAACCCCCUUUUCUUUUCCUUAUUUCUCUGUUUCUGCCGGCUCUUUCAGGAGAUAACAAGCUUGGUACUAGUUAUAGGUCAAGGUUGGGUCUUCAAGGUGAAAAGUGGGAAAAACAUACUUUCACGCUGCAAGAGCCCCCAAAGGUUGGAUUAAUUCUUAACCUCCAAAUGUGGAUUACUAUCCCACUUCUCGUGACUCGCCCAUCACGAUUCUUGCAUAAACCUACACUUGUCAGACUCUGGCAUAAUUGA